rnacentral:rRNA from 1 species
GACGAACGCUGGCGGCGUGCCUAAUACAUGCAAGUAGAACGCUGAAGCGAGGAGCUUGCUCUUCUUGGAUGAGUUGCGAACGGGUGAGUAACGCGUAGGUAACCUGCCUUGUAGCGGGGGAUAACUAUUGGAAACGAUAGCUAAUACCGCAUAACAAUAGGUGACACAUGUCAUUUAUUUGAAAGGGGCAAUUGCUCCACUACAAGAUGGACCUGCGUUGUAUUAGCUAGUAGGUGAGGUAACGGCUCACCUAGGCGACGAUACAUAGCCGACCUGAGAGGGUGAUCGGCCACACUGGGACUGGGACACGGCCCAGACUCCUACGGGAGGCAGCAGUAGGGAAUCUUCGGCAAUGGGGGCAACCCUGACCGAGCAACGCCGCGUGAGUGAAGAAGGUUUUCGGAUCGUAAAGCUCUGUUGUAAGUCAAGAACGAGUGUGAGAGUGGAAAGUUCACACUGUGACGGUAGCUUACCAGAAAGGGACGGCUAACUACGUG